rnacentral:rRNA from 1 species
UACGUAGGGGGCAAGCGUUGUCCGGAUUUACUGGGCGUAAAGGGCGCGUAGGCGGCAAUUCAAGUCAUCUGUGAAAUCUCCGGGCUUAACUCGGAACGGUCAGAUGAUACUGCUUUGCUAGAGUGCAGAAGGGGCAAUCGGAAUUCUUGGUGUAGCGGUGAAAUGCGUAGAUAUCAAGAGGAACACCUGAGGUGAAGACGGGUUGCUGGGCUGACACUGACGCUGAGGCGCGAAAGCCAGGGGAGCAAACGGG